GAAUAGCUUAGUGGGCUAGAGUGUGGUGCCGAUAAAGCCAAGGUUGCCGGUUCAAUCCCCGUAUGGGACA